CUGAAGGAGGUUGGGUUCUUCCUGUCCAGUGGGAAGGAGGAAAGGCAGGCUUGUCAGAGUUUAGCUACCUCAACCUGACUGUGGAGAAGGAGAAACCCCUAAAUCAUCUUUGGAGCUCUCCUUCUACCUCUCCAGUUUUCAUCAUCAUGCCUCAGCUCCAUAAGUUUCCUUCCACUGAGAAGGCCAAGGAUUUCUCACCUGAGAACAAACAUCCCUCUACCCAUUCAUCCCUUUUAUCCCUUUGGGGAGAGGUCGAGGCCAGUGAUCCUUCAUUUUUCUCCAGCUUGGCUUCUGACUCUCUGGAUUUUACCACCAUGCUUCCAACCCAGUGGAACGAGGAGGAAUGGAAGGAAGAGAGAGAACAUGGAUUGCAAAAUAUCAGAAAACAAAUAUUUUAAAAAUGUAUUGACAUGUAAUCUGGAAGAAAAGGAUAUUUUAAAAAUUAUGCAUCAUUCUGUAUGUGUAUGUUCAGAUGUGUAAAAACAAGAAUUCAUGUGUUAUACUGAUAAAUCUUUAACAACUGUCUCUAAAACAAUGCAUCUGACAUACUUUUAAGUUUAAUUGGAAUUAUUUACAUUACCGCAUUACUUUUUUUUCUCUAGACAAUCAACAGAAUAAUAUGUCAAGCUUUAACUUAUAACAUUUGCUGAUUUUUACAUAUAAAUGCUCACAUUGAAAAUUUAAUAUUGAGUUCUCAAGAGCUGGUUUAAGCUGGCUCUGGCAUACCUCUGCUAUAUUUUGUAGAUAGGUAUAUAUAUAAUAUACAUAUAUAUAUGCAUACACAUAACAUGAUUUAAGUUAAAUUCAGCAAUUAUAUAUUGAGACCAUAUUAUAUAUUGUGCAUUUCAGUAGUGACUAUGGGUAUUAAAAAAAGAAAAAUGUAUAAAAGGCUGUGAUUAUAUAAGGCAACACUUAUAUCUUAAAUGAAUGAAUGAUCCCUCUAAUUGUUUUAAACUGCAAAGAGACUUAUGUGCUACAUGAGCAAACAAUCAUGUUACACAGGAAGCAGAAGGCUGAGUAUACAUGAAAAGG
rnacentral:lncRNA from 1 species